AUGUAUUCUUCCCUUCCUGUGUAUGCCAUUCUUUUGCUUCUUUCUUGGCCGUUCAGUUUGGUGCCUCUUUGUGCAUCCCAUAACCAGCUUGUCGCUGGCAAGCUGCUCUUCCCUGGCAGUGUCCUCGUCUAUCAAGAUGGGGUGUUUGCCCUGGGAUUCUUCUCCCCGUCCGACUCCACCAAGAACCAUCACUAUGUUGGCAUACGGUAUGACGACAUCCUGGAGCGCACGGUGGUAUGGGUUUCUAACCGUGCGGCACCGAUCACCACUAACCUUUCCUCUGCAAAUCUUGUCGUCGCUAGUUGUUCCAACAUAGUCUUGUCUGAUAGCAAUGGUCAUGUCCUCUGGACAACGAACAAUAACAUCAGCGUCAACUCCAUCUCGGUGGAAGCAGUGUUGGACAACACUGGCAACUUCAUCCUUAGAUCAUUAGCUGACAGUGCCAUCCUAUGGCAAAGCUUCGACCACUCGGCCAACACUCUCCUACCCGGCAUGAACCUCAGGCUUAGCCACAACACGCUUCCACUGCAGGACCUCGUCUCCUGGAAAGGCCAACAGGACCCAUCCACCGGUGAGUUCUCCUACGGCACAGACCCUAGCAGCUUCCUCUAGUGCUUCAUCUGGAAUGGCUGGAGGCCACACCGGCGAAGCCCGGUGUGGACAAACUACCUCUAUGUUGGUGGAUUCAACGAGUCUACCAUUUACACGGCCUUACAUCAUGCCGACAAUGAGGUGUACAUGUCCUUCGUCAUGCCGACUGGCUACUUUUUGUCCCUGGUCAGGAUGGAGAUUGACUACUCAGGCAAGGUAAAUACACUACGCUGGGAGAGCAACAUGUACGCAUGGAGAACCCUAUAUGCAGAGCCUCAACAUGAGUGCAAUAUGUAUGGCUACUAUGGUCUUUAUGGUUGCUGCGACAACACAGAAGUUGUCCCAGUUUGCUAGUGCCUUGACGGUUUUGAGCCGAGGGAUGGUGAAGGAUGGAUCGCCGGUAGCUUCUCACAGGGAUGCCGCCAGAAGGAGGUGCGAAGGUGCACCCAUGGAGACGGUUUGUUGGCCUUUCCCGUCAUGAAGGUCCCUGACAAGUUCAUACAUGUCCCGAGCAGAAGCUUUGCUGAGUGCACGAAGAAAAGCAGAAGCAAUUGCUCCUGCGUGGCAUAUGCUUACUCCAAGAUGAGCAACAUGGAUAUUGAUGGGGAUGGCACAAGAUGCCUGGGAUGGAUGGGAGAUUUGAUUGACAUGGAGAACCACACUCAAGGAGGGGAGAACCUAUAUGUUCGGACUAAAAGAUUACAAGGUAUGCAUGAUUAA
rnacentral:rRNA from 1 species